GUGGGAAGCCCGUGCAGAGCGGGGCAGGAGGGCUGGGCCGGGGCUGCCGGCCCCCAGCACCGCUCAGCCUUCAGGGCUGAGCAGCGCUUGUGCUUGGCACAGGGAAGCAGAGGUGCAGAAGCACUUAUCCACAGCCCUGAAAGAGGCUGCAGGCACAGUGAGUGUGGAGCUGGUGCUUGGCCUCGUGCGGCAACCUCUUGUGCUAGCCUUGUUUUCAGCAAAACCCCUCUGGGCUGGGAGGCAGCUGCCUGUGGUGCAGAGGGUGGGAGCCACAGCUGGCUGGGACCCUGGGGCAGCAUGACGCUGCUGCACAGGAGACAGAGAGGGGCAACUGGGAAGGGAACUACCCCCCUGCUUCUGCUGUCUGGAAGUUUUCCUUGGCUUAAAGUAACACCAGACCAUCACCAGAUCAUGUCUCUGUGCAGUAGUGGAGUGCUCCCCUCCCUGCAAGCAUGGCAAAAAAAAAAAAAAAAAAAAGUGAUGACGAUCAGGCUAUGCAUCAUUUAGAUACAACAAAUGCUUUUAUAAAUGUCAAUAACAGCAUAAUUGAAGUGUCCAGCCUGGCCUUGCCACUUCUGCUUGCCUUACUGGAGGCAGAGGCCGCUUGUCCAGCAGGGGAGCAGCUCCAGAGGGGCCGCAGCUGCUGCCUGGCAGGGCUCAGGGGCUGCAGCUGCUGGGCAGCUCACAAAGGGAAGGGGCCAGGGCCGGGUGCUGCUGAGGGUUGUGCCCUGCCCGUUCUGGAGGCUAACGGUGCAGGGGCUUGUUCUCCAGGAGUGCUCAGGCCUCCCAGAUCCCCACAUCUGGGCAUAGUUGUGCAUUGCUGCUGCUCCUGGUGCCUGUGCCGGGGGAGGUUUGCUCUUGCUCUCAGCCCGGGCAGAAAAUGAGGGUACGGAAGCAGAGCUGAAUCUCUUCAGAUGCCCCCUGGAAUGGACCUGAGCUUUCACAUCUCAGGGCAGCACAGGAGAACAGCUGUGGUACCCUGCGGAGUCCCCCCAGAGCUGCAGGGGGAAAUCCUCCUCUGCUGGUGACGGUGCCUCUGUUUGCACACCAGCCUGCCUGGCCGCCACCUCACGCUGGGACCUGCUGCCAUGCUGCUUGUCACCGUGUCCCAGGCGCUUUGCCAGCCUGCUGCCCGGCAGGCACAGCUUCUGGAGGAGCUGUGUGUGCCCGGGCCCCGCUGCCUCCUGCCCCACGCCUGCCGCAGCCGCCGGCCCCAGCAGCGCCCCGGGGAGCAGCACCCUGGUGGGGAUUCCUCACCGACAGGAGGUUCGGCCGCUGCUGCAUCUGUUCAGUGCGGGCUCUUGUAGAGCACGGUAUUUCGAUUGGAAUGGCACGUGAUAUGGAGCCAAACAACUCGCGGAAGUCUGUUACAUCAAUGUAAUUGCCUUAAUCAGCCAAACUUGUGAUCUCUGCAGAAGGAGGGACCCUUCUACACACCUCAGACCCUUCGGCAGGAAAUCUUUGCUGUGCAGAGGCUGCUGCGUGCUGCUGCUGCAAUAAAGGGGAGACACGGCUCCAGCACCAGCAGAGGAACAGAAGCAGGUUUUCCCUUCCAGCACUGAGGUUUUUGGAGGCUCCUUCUCGUCUGGAUGAGCUUAUCCCCCUUCCAGGAGAAGCUCCUCUAGCAUACUAAUUUAUAUCGUACUCAUGCAAUCCCCUUGCAUCCUGAAUGAGGAUGGUUUGGGAAAUUAAAUUUUGUAUGAAAUGCACCAAAAAUCUGAUGUCCUCAAGCAAGACAUCUGUUUUUUCAUCCACCAAAAGGGAAGGCAUAACCAACCGCAGCAGCUCUGGGGUCAGCAGAGGGAGAGGGAAGGACCCCUUUGCUGCGGGUGCAGGGGCCGUGGUGCUCGCGUCCCAGCGAGGACAAGGUUUGGUCAGUGUCCAGCAUCCAUCGGAGUACAGCGCCUGCCCGGGAGCAGUGGUGGCCUGUGGCCAUGUUGCACAGUGCCUGCGCAGUGCUUGGCACGUUCGUGGUUUCGGCAAGUAAUAAAUAACAAUAAUGAUUAUGAAAGCAUUGUGCAUGUGCCCCUAGGGCUCUAAAAAAAAAAAAAAAAAAAAAAAAAAAAAGCCUUUUACAUUGAAAGCCAACUGUAACAUUUUCCCCCUUGUCUAAUUCACAAAAUAUGCCCAUAAAAACAAUAAUUUAUCUGUACAAGGGCAAUUCCCUAGGUAUUAAACCAAAGAUUGAUAGCUCUUGACUACCCUGUACUAGUAGAGAGUGAGACCCAGUGGAAUUCCCUGGAACUUUGCAUGAGUGCAGAAGCUUUUGGUGUUUGCAUACACAAAAAUCAUUAAAUGCAAUGGUAUUUCCUGCCAGGGAUUAAACUCUGGGAUAGGUCUGGUGCCACACCCAGCUGUGUUCUCCGAGCGUGUUCAUGUCUUCCCCAGGCUCAGGGACUGGCUUACCCCCAGAUUUUCAGGAAAGAGCUGAAAGCAAUUGCUUCUUCCUUUCUUCAGGCUUGACUUUCACAUCAUAGCUUUUCAAUGUACUUAAAUCCGUGUGGUGUUUAAAAUUCAGCUAUGUUUGUCGGAAUUCAAUUACCCCUGAAGAUUACACAAAGAUUAUCAAAGUUGUAAACAGCAGAAUAUGCUCAGAGAUCAAUGAAGCGCAACAAAGACCAUAUUUAACAGGAGAAAUAAAAGUAAGGGCAUGCUGGCAAACUCUGACAGUGGAGUGUAAUGUUGCAUCAUCGCGCUGAAGGUUGGAAAGUAAUUGAAAUCUAUGUUAUAGCACAAUAUAUCCCUGCACAGAUUUGCAGUCAUGGAGCACAAUUUCAGCUCUAAUAUUCAAGCAAUUCAUUUGGUUUAAGCAGACACAGGAUCUGAGUUGUUCUUGUUAAGUGUUGGUGUGGAACAUCCGUGCAGGUUGCUCAGCGGCAGCAGUGCUGCUGCCCACA